rnacentral:tRNA from 1 species
GUUUUUGUAGUUGAAUAACAACGGUGGUUUUUCAGACCACAGGUCCUGGUUAUGGGCCCAGGCAAAAAUG